ensembl:lncRNA
CUCUCGGGGGCCUGUAGGUGGCGCCAUCUCCCAGGGAGUGAGACCCUAGGUUCCUCUGGAAGCGCGGAGGAGGACGGACUCUUCCCGGGUGGUCUGCUCCCCUAGAGCGAGCGAGAGACGAGCGCCGGCGGGAGCCUGGGCGGGGACAAGGGCUGCCACUCCCUGCCUCAGGAGAACUGGGGAGCCUACAUGAACCCUGAGGGAUUGGACAGUUUCGCUCCUGCACAGACCAGAGGGUUUCAGUGGCUCAGUCACAACUGUGGCCAGCAGCUGGGAGCCCAGGAAGCACAGACAAAGGACACAUACUUGCUCACUCCUCACAUGCCAUCUCCACAGCCAGGCCUUGCCUCUCUGAAAACCAGGAGUGUCAAGGUCCGGCUCAAAUCAGAGAAAGACCCAGAACUUCAUUGCUUUUCCAGAAAGACCAUUUGUGAGAGGUAACAUGGGACUGCGAGAAGUUUCUCUUUGCUUCUUUUAUUUUAUUUUUUGAAGUUUUUAUUUAUUUUGAGAGAGAGAAAGAAAGAGAGCACAGAUGGGAGGGGCAGAGAGAGGGACAGAGAAUCCUAAGCAGGCUCUGCACUGUCAGCACAGAACCUGAUGUGGGGCUUGAACUCGCAAAUCAUGAGAUCAUGACCUGAACUGAAAUCAAGAGUCAGAUGCUUAACUGACUGAGCCACGCAGGUGACCCCUCUUCUUUGCUUCUUAAUUUUUUCUUCUUUGGAGCUUCCUUUUGGGUUGAUCAAGUUUUCCUUUUCCUUCUCCUUUUCCUCUUUCUCUUUCUUUCUUUCUUUCUUUCUUCUUUCUUUCUUUCUUUCUUAGCUUUUGUUUAUUUAUUUAUUUUUCAAUAAUCUCUACACCCAAUGUGGGGUUCGAAUUCACAACCCCAAGAUCAAGAGUCGCAUGCUCUUCUGACUGAACCAGCCAGGCACCAUUGGAUUGAUCACAUUUUCUUUAACUAAUUUCAUCUAUUUGUUUGGAAGUUACAAAUUUAUGUUUAUUCUGUUUCAGGUAUCUUCUGCAACAUGACAAACUGUCCCACCUGAAUGGCUUAAAACAAACUUUAGUUAUUAUUUGUUCUGCUUCACGUGAUUGUGGCAUUGAGAGAGCUAAAGGGUCUAAAAAAAGGCUCCCUAACACCACUGGCAAUUUGUGCUGGCUGCUAGCUGGGGUAGUUUAGUUGGGGCUGUUUGUGGGGUGCCUUGGUUCUCCUCUUCAGCCUUUCCACAUGGCUGCUUGAACUUCCUCACAGUGUGGUGGCUGGCUUUCAAGAAGGAACGUUCCAAUAGCUGAAGUCAUAAGCUGUAGGUAUCUUAAGGCCAGACUUGGAAGAUACACAGCAUCAUUCCAUUCUUUUGCACAAAACAGAUCAUGAAGCCAGCCCAGAUCAAAGUGGUGUGGGACACCACUUUGGAAUGAGUGACAAAAGGAUUUGUGGUCAUCUUUAAUUUCAAUCAAUUUAAACAUCACAGAAGCUAUACUUGAAUUUCAUACUUAUAUUUAACUGUAUAGAUUUCUAACAAUAUCUAAAGUUGUUAAGAAAAAAUUCUCAGGGCGCCUGGACGGCUCAGUUGGUGAAGCAUUCAACUUUGGCUCAGGUCACAAUCUUAUGGUUCGUGAGUUUGAGCCCUGUGCUGGGCUCUGUGCACUGAUAAUGCAGAACCUGCUUUGGAUUCUGUCUCCCGCUCUUUCUGCCCCUCCCCUGCUCACACUCUCUCUCUCAAAAAUAAGUAAACAUUAAAAAAAAAAAAAGAGGGGCACCUGGGUGGCUCAGUUGGUUGAGUGUCCAACUUCAGCUCUGGUCAUGAUCUUGCGGUUUGUGGGUUUGAGCCCUGCAUCGGGCUCUGUACUGAUAGCUUGGAGCCUGGAGCCUGCUUCGGAUUCUGUGUCUCCCUAUCUCUCUGCUCUUCCCCUGUUCACUCUCUGUCUCUGUCUGUCUCUCUCAAAAAUAAACAUGAAAGAAAGAAAGAAAGAAAGAAAGAA